rnacentral:lncRNA from 1 species
CUUUUGUCUUUUUAGGGCCGCACUUGUGGCAUAUGGAGGUUCCCAGGCUAGGGGUCUAAUUGGAGCUGUUGCUGCUGGCCUACACCACAGCCACAGCAAUGCCAGAUCCCAGACCCAAGCUACGUCUGCGACCUACACCACAGCUCAUGGCCAUGCCGGAUCUUUAUCCCACGAGCGAGGCCAGGGAUCGAACCCACAACUUCAUGGUUCCUAGUUGGGUUGUUUCAUAGUGCCAAGAUGGGAACUCUGACACUUGGCUUUUAAGUAUAGAUUUGACAUUAUUUAUUUACUGUUUCUUAUGAUAAAUAAGAUGUUUAGGGGAUCUUAGACCACUGGAAAUCUGCUUCAGCAUGAGUAUUAGAGAAGAUAACUAUCCCACUCACCUUGCCUUACCUAGUUCUUUACAAAGAGCACUACUUUAUUUACAUUAUAAUGACUAAUAAAAAAACAAUAGCUCAAAUCAUUACUAGCAUGUAUUUGGUGCUUACUACGUACCAGGUAGCAUCCCAUGUGUUUUCACAUAUUAACUCAUUUAAUCCUCACAAUUAAAUAAUAAGGUAGAUUCUCUUAUCAUUCCCCUACUUUAGAUGAGGAAACUAAGUCACAAAGAGACAGAAAAGUGUUGAGUCAAGAUAUAAAUAUAGAGGUGAGUCAGGGAGAGGGUCAUGGACCCUACUGCAUGCUUGCUCAAGGAACACAGUGGCUAGUGCACAUACAGAGGGGCAGUGAGAGGGCUGGAAGGAGGCAGGCAGCUUGGUGGGCCAGGCAAGUUGCAAGCAGUAGGCAGCUGGAUGGGAGCACGGGUAGACUCAAAAGCAAUGAGUAGUUAGUGAGUUGUUAGUGUCAACUGCUAGGCAGUUACCAUGGCAGUGGUACCCCUCAGAAGGACUUGAGCUCACCUCCUUCACAAAAACAGCAAGAUCACAACUAACUGCUGAACAGUCAGCAACAAAAAAGACUGGAACCAAAAAAGAUCAUACACUAUGAUCAAGUGGGAUUUAUCCUGGGGAUGUAAGGAUUUUUCAUUACUCACAAAUCAAUCAGUGUGAUACACAACAUUAACAGACUGAAUAAUAAAAACCAUAUGAUCAUCUCAAUAAGGGCAGAAAAAGGUUUUGACAAAAUCCAAGAUCCAUUUAUUAUAAAAACUCAUCAGAAAGUGGUCAUCGAGGGAACCUACCUCAAAAUAAUAAAGGCCUUAUAUGACAAACCCACAGAUGAAACAUACUCAAUGGUUAAAAAAAAAAAGCUGAAAGCAUUUCCACUAUGAUCCGGAAUAAGACAAGGAUGUCCACUCUUGCCACUGUCAUUCAGCAUAGUUUUGGAAGUCCUAGCCAUGGCAAUCAGAGAAGAAAAAUAAAUAAAAGGAAUCCAAAUUGGAAAAGAAGAAGUAAAAUUGCCACUGUUUGCAAACAUGAUACUAUACAUAGAAAACCCUAAAGAUGCUACCAGAAAACUCCUAGAGCUCAUCAAUGAAUUCAGUAAAGUUGCAAGAACAAAAUUAAUACACAGAAAUAGUUUGCACUUCUAUCCAUUAACAACAUAAGAUCAGAAAAAGAAAUUAAGGAAACAAUCCCUUUUUCCAUUGCAUCAAAAAGAAAAAAAUAGCCAGGAUUUCCCUGAUGGCCUAGGGUCUAAGGUUUCAGUGUUGUCACUGCUGUAGGACAGGUUCAUCCUUGGCCCAGGAACUUCUACAGGCUGUGGGUGUGGCCAAAAAAAAAAAAAAAAAAA